rnacentral:rRNA from 1 species
UACGGAGGGUGCGAGCGUUAUCCGGAAUCACUGGGUUUAAAGGGUGCGUAGGCGGCGAGGUAAGUCAGUUGUGAAAUUCCCCGGCUCAACCGGCGGGACUGCGAUUGAUACUGCUUUGCUUGAAACAGGUUGAGGUAAGCGGAAUGUGGCAUGUAGCGGUGAAAUGCAUAGAUAUGCCAUAGAACACCGAUUGCGAAGGCAGCUUGCUGGGCCUGAUUUGACGCUGAGGCACGAAAGCGUGGGGAGCAAACAGG